UACAGAGGUCUCAAGCGUUGUUCGGAUUCAUUGGGCGUAAAGGGUGCGUAGGUGGUCGCGUAAGUCGGAUGUGAAAUCCCGGGGCUCGACCCCGGAACUGCAUUCGAUACUGCGUGGCUGGAGUCCUGGAGAGGAGAUCGGAAUUUACGGUGUAGCAGUGAAAUGCGUAGAUAUCGUAAGGAAGACCAGUGGCGAAGGCGGAUCUCUGGACAGGAACUGACACUGAGGCACGAAGGCCAGGGGAGCAAACGGG
rnacentral:rRNA from 1 species